GUUCUAGAAUAUAGGAUUCUAUUUCAGUUGGCUCUGCUGACACUCAAUAGUGUAUGUCUUUAUAAUGACAGGAGCAAGUUCAGAACAGAUUAUGUAGCAAGAAAGGAAUCCGGUGACCAGCCAGAGGCAGCUUUAAAGAGGCGAGAGGAACAAAGAGGAGGCAACCAUGUUGGAAGACCAAGAAAGGAGAACAUACCACAAGAAGUGUGGGGAAGAUGACCAGAAGAGCUGCUUGCAAUGUGAAUUGACAGUUGCAAGAAACUACUUAACCUUAAGAUGCAUUCAAGGGACACUGAAGCUGCUUAAACCCAAAUGUGAGCAGACUCUGUCCCUUUGUCAUUAUCUGUGUGCCGAUCAUGCCUAAGUUCUGGACCUUCAUUCAAGUGUCAUGAGGAGACUAAGCUGAUGGAUGUAUAAUCUUUUCUGGGUGCAUUCCAAUACAACAUUUACUGUCUUAA